UUGCUAGAAGAUGACGAGUGGCGGACGGGUGAGUAAUGCUUGGGAACUUGCCUUUGCGAGGGGGAUAACAGUUGGAAACGACUGCUAAUACCGCAUAAUGUCUUCGGACCAAACGGGGCUUCGGCUCCGGCGCAAAGAGAGGCCCAAGUGAGAUUAGCUAGUUGGUAAGGUAACGGCUUACCAAGGCGACGAUCUCUAGCUGUUCUGAGAGGAAGAUCAGCCACACUGGGACUGAGACACGGCCCAGACUCCUACGGGAGGCAGCAGUGGGGAAUAUUGCACAAUGGGGGAAACCCUGAUGCAGCCAUGCCGCGUGUGUGAAGAAGGCCUUCGGGUUGUAAAGCACUUUCAGUUGUGAGGAAAAGUUAGUAGUUAAUACCUGCUAGCCGUGACGUUAACAACAGAAGAAGCACCGGCUAACUCCGUGCCAGCAGCCGCGGUAAUACGGAGGGUGCGAGCGUUAAUCGGAAUUACUGGGCGUAAAGCGCACGCAGGCGGUUUGUUAAGCUAGAUGUGAAAGCCCCGGGCUCAACCUGGGAUGGUCAUUUAGAACUGGCAGACUAGAGUCUUGGAGAGGGGAGUGGAAUUCCAGGUGUAGCGGUGAAAUGCGUAGAUAUCUGGAGGAACAUCAGUGGCGAAGGCGACUCCCUGGCCAAAGACUGACGCUCAUGUGCGA
rnacentral:rRNA from 1 species